AAUGAACGCUGGCGGCGUGCCUAACACAUGCAAGUCGAGCGAGAAAGUCCCCUUCGGGGGCGAGUAAAGCGGCGCACGGGUGAGUAACGCGUGGGUAACCUACCCUAGAGUGGGGGAUAACCAGCCGAAAGGCUGACUAAUCCCGCAUACGUCCGGCAGACUCAAGUCUGCUGGGGAAAGAUGGCCUCUGCUUGCAAGCUAUUGCUCUUGGAUGGGCUCGCGUUAGAUUAGCUAGUUGGUGAGGUAAUGGCUCACCAAGGCUACGAUCUAUAGCUGGUUUGAGAGGACGACCAGCCACACUGGAACUGAGACACGGUCCAGACUCCUACGGGUGGCAG
rnacentral:rRNA from 1 species